UCUACUCUGUCUGGUACUGGGAGAUCUUGGACCAAUAUGUCUGGGGUAUCAAGAGCCCAGACCAGUGCAAUGGAACACCUUCUAGCAGGCUACAAGAAGGAGUGGCGAGACCUGGCUCACCACCAUCAGCUCACCAUCGCUGCAAACAGUCUCCUGACUUAUGACCCCUCAACUCUCCCCCCCCCCAACGGGGUGUAAGUGGCUCCCAUCAUGCUGAAGUCAACCUCACCUGCACGUGGUACACCCUGCACACCCACUAACGAGGCUCUGGCGUCCACACCCAUAUGAAGAUAUCUCUCAUUUGGGUGUAUACUUCUAUGCAUAAGACUUUUUUUUUAGAAUAUAAGUGUAAGACAGGGGCGGAUUCAAACGGGGGGAUUGGGAGAUGGCUUUUAAUCCCCCAAUCUCCCCCUCCCUUCUUCUUUUCGUUUUUGGGUCCGCGCCUGGCAUUUUAAAAAGUUUAUUAAAACUAAAACAUACAUCGUAACUGAUUUCUUGAUUUCUUUAAAGUUAAAAGCUUAUUAUCUAAUGAUAAAUCGGACAAUUAUAACAAGUAAUUCCAAUAUUAUAAUAAUAUUAUAUCAGUAGAGGAGUAGAUGUAGUUUGUAGAUGUUCAAUAAAGUAGUGAUUGUAGAGUAGAUGUAGUGAAA